AGGACGAACGCUGGCGGCGUGCUUAACACAUGCAAGUCGAGCGGAAAGGCCCUUCGGGGUACUCGAGCGGCGAACGGGUGAGUAACACGUGAGUAAUCUGCCCCUAGCUCUGGGAUAGCUCCGGGAAACCGGGGAUUAAUACCGGAUACGACCACCUUAGACAUCUUUUGUGGUGGAAAGAAUUUCGGCUAGGGAUGAGCUCGCGGCCUAUCAGCUUGUUGGUGGGGUAACGGCCUACCAAGGCGACGACGGGUA
rnacentral:rRNA from 1 species